ACUCAAUAGAUACCCCGGUAGUCCACGCCCUAAACGAUGUCUACUAGUUGUCGGGUCUUAAUUGACUUGGUAAACGCAGCUAAACGCGUGAAGUAGACCGCCUGGGGAGUACGGUCGCAAGAUUAAAACUCAAAGGAAUUGACGGGGACCCGCACAAGCGGUGGAUGAUGUGGAUUAAUUCGAUGCAACGCGAAAAACCUUACCUACCCUUGACAUGGAUGGAAUCCUUGAGAGAUUGAGGUAGUGCCCGAAAGGGAACCAUUACACAGGUGCUGCAUGGCUGUCGUCAGCUCGUGUCGUGAGAUGUUGGGUUAAGUCCCGCAACGAGCGCAACCCUUGUCAUUAGUUGCUACG
rnacentral:rRNA from 1 species